rnacentral:misc_RNA from 1 species
UUUUGGUUUUCGAAAACGAACGAUGAUCUGCGGCAACAUCGGGAACUACGCGGCAUCGAUGAAAGUCGAUCCACGUCUCAAUGUUGUUGACCCGCCUCCUGAUUUUGAAUCCCUUGUUUCGUUUCUCGAUGAUAUUCGUUAAAAGAUGUGGCUAUGGCAGGUUGCUUGGGGAUCUUAGUUUGACUUCGAUCUUAGUUUUAAGCUUAAUCGGUUUCUUCACGAGAUCUGCAUGGGUUGUCUGAUUGUAUGGCAUGUUCUUGUUUGAUUGUUGCCUUAUGAUUGGAUGGUUUGUGUGAUCGAUGACAUGAUGUGACUUGUUAAUCUUAAAACUUGUGAGGGCGAUUUGAUGUUGUUACAUUUGUUGACGAGUAUUGUUGACUGAUGCUGCAAGUGUUUCUUGGUAGCUUGUUUAUCUGAUGCGUUGCUGAUGAGAUUCGUCUCAAUAGGUGGUGUCAUGUUGCUUGUUGUUCCUAGUUUCUAGCUUUUUAAGCUUAAAACCCAUGGAUUAUCGACUAGUAACAGGUCAUCGCGUCUUUGGUUGAUGAAGAUCGUUCAAUGAUGCAUUGGUUUGCUUGUGUUCUCGCAUCGUUCGGUGCAUUCUGGGGUCAUUUUGGCUAUUAGCUGCUUGCCUUGCAUUUGAGCUUGUUGGGUGGCUAUUAGUUGGGUGAUUUCGGGAAUGUCUACCGUAAAGGUGCAUGAGUGGUGUUUGGUUUGUUACGGGUGGUUGGCUCUUUGCUUGUGCAACAACUUCCACCUGGCAUACCUCUUCAGUCUUGUGUCAAUGCUUGUAUCGGAUUGAGUGCAUUGUGGGGUUUCCUGUGUUGCAUGCCUAAUU